rnacentral:rRNA from 1 species
UACGUAGGGUGCGAGCGUUGUCCGGAAUUACUGGGCGUAAAGAGCUCGUAGGUGGUUUGUCGCGUUGUCCGUGAAAACUCACAACUCAAUUGUGGGCGUGCGGGCGAUACGGGCAGACUGGAGUACUGCAGGGGAGACUGGAAUUCCUGGUGUAGCGGUGGAAUGCGCAGAUAUCAGGAGGAACACCGGUGGCGAAGGCGGGUCUCUGGGCAGUAACUGACGCUGAGGAGCGAAAGCUAGGGGAGCAAACAGG